AUAACAUUAGUUUUGAUUUUAUGUUUUUCAUUUAAAUUUUAUUGCAUAAUUUAAAUAACAUAUUUUUCUAAUAGUUAAAUACGCCAUUAAACAUAAAAUUUAAAAACACCUAAAAGAUAAAAAAAAUUACAUAAAAAUUAAAAACACCUAAAACAUCAUAUUACCCCAUCAUUAAAAUUACAUAAUUAAAAUCCUAGUCUAGACCACGACGCCUGAGCACAUCGGCGACCAUGGACGCGUGCAAUGCCCUUUGUGCGUCCGUCAUGUGCGUCGUAUCCGCGUUCAGAAGCUGCAUAUCGAGCUCCCUC
rnacentral:lncRNA from 1 species